UACGGGGGGAGCAAGCGUUGUUCGGAAUUACUGGGCGUAAAGCGUGCGCAGGCGGUUUGUUAAGACAGAUGUGAAAUCCCCGGGCUUAACCUGGGAACUGCGUUUGUAACUGGCAAGCUAGAGUGUGGCAGAGGGGGGUGAAUUCCAAGUGUAGCAGUGAAAUGCGUAGAUAUUUGGAGGAACACCAAUGGCGAAGGCAGCCCCCUGGGUUAACACUGACGCUCAUGCACGAAAGCGUGGGG
rnacentral:rRNA from 1 species